ACAGCAGCCGCCACGGUAAUACAGAGGGUGCGAGCGUUAAUCGGAUUUACUGGGCGUAAAGCGUGCGUAGGCGGCUUUUUAAGUCGGAUGUGAAAUCCCUGAGCUUAACUUAGGAAUUGCAUUCGAUACUGGGAAGCUAGAGUAUGGGGGAGGAUGGUAGAAUUCCAGGUGUAGCGGUGAAAUGCGUAGAGAUCUGGAGGAAUACCGAUGGCGAAGGCAGCCAUCUGGCCUAAUACUGACGCUGAGGUACGAAAGCAUGGGGAGCAAACAGGAUUAGAUACCCGGGUAGUCCCUGUCUCUUAUAC
rnacentral:rRNA from 1 species